GAGGCCCGCGUACCGCAAAAAAAAAAAAAAAAAGGUAGGUAAACUUUAUUUUAGAAAUACAGUUUUGAAACCCUUCUAAGUUUCUAAAGUACUCAGUAGAUGUUUGGCCACUGUUUUCUUUUAUAAAAGCCCAAAUCUUAAGUUCCUGAGUAAAAACUGCAAGGGGAGGGAGAUAUUUGGAAAAAAUAUUUGUUAGCCUAAAUCUCUGUGUUAAUAACAAUACUAUAAAAAGUGUCAUUUAAUUAAAGUUCUUAAUUAAAGUGCUUUUUAAUAUACAUCUGUAUAAAAAGUAAAUGGACAGAUUAUGAUUAAAUACAAAUAAAUAAAACAAAACACUACUGGGAGUAGGGUAUGAAGCCUUCUCCAGGCAAAGAAAUUAGAAAAUUUCCAAACCAAAGAGGGUACAUUUCUUCUUUUUAUUUCUAUGUCCCAUACUCAACCAAGCAGUGAGGCUAAACAUGUGCGCUGAUAUGUUCUAUAAACCAUACUACCCUGUAGAAGCGCAGCUAAAGUGCUAUACUGGAAUCUACACUUUUUCCGAGCAACAGGUAUAUAUUUACUGGAAUAUAAAGAACAUGGUUUGAUGGAACAAAAAGAGCAUGGACUUUGUGUCAAGCAAAGUUAUAUGACCUCUCCAUGCUUCACUGUCCUCAUCUGUACAGUGGGGACUGUUAACAUCCACUGGUUGAUGCAAGGAUUCUAUGAAUGACAAAGGAUGGAAAGUAACAGGCCCUGUUCUAGGAUCACCCUGUAAGGAACAGGAGAGUCCAUUGUCAUAUAUCUUACAAACUGAAAUAAUUUCCUAAAAAUAGAAUACUAAUUUUGCGCUAAUUUUUGACUUUUAUAUCCAUGGUGCCAUUCUGCCAAUUGGAUUGGAACAAGGAGAUGUAUAAUUAAUCAGAACCUGAAUUUGUUGUUGGUUUUUUUUUUUUUUUUUUUUUUUGAGUGGGAGCGAUUCUCAAAAAGAUAAGAAUGUACUGUUAACCAGGUAUGGCAGUAAGUAUAAAGAAUGUUAGGACCAGCAUCACAUUCUUAAUUUAACCCUUCUUUAAAUUAUUAAUUACCAUUUCAGGUUUUCUGUUGAUUUUCUAUGAGGCACUCACAUAUGGGACAGGAUACAGAAAAUCCAAUCAGAAACCUGAAUCCAUUUAGUUAGAAACCAGAACCUCAUAUCUCAUGAAACACAUGCUUAAGCAGCAAAGGGCAAAAGGUUGCUAAAAAAAACUGAUAGUAUCAGGACCAUAUGUGAAAUAAAUAGGAUUUUAAGAGACCUGGGAAUGAAAGCCAAAUGAAACUAAAAUUCACAGCAAAAGAUACCUUAUACACAAGGAAUGUGAGCCCUGAAUUUUCACACACUAUUGGUGGGAGUAUAAAGUGCUAACAUGUAUCAAAAUCCUAAAAGUUAGGCAAACUUUUUGACCAAAUAACUAUACCUCCAUCAUUUAGUUUGUGUAAAUAAUUUAGGGUAUGGGCAAAAAUUUAGAUACAGAGACGUUAGUUGCAGCAUUCUUUAAAACAACGGAGACAACCUGAGUAUUCAAAACUAGAGGACUGGGGAUAUAAGUCAUGGUACAUAGCAGGGGUCCCCAACCCCCGGGGCCUUGGACCACUACUGGUCCGCAGCCUGUCAGGAACCGGGCCGCAGAACAGGAGGUGAGCGGCGGGCAAGGGAUCGAAGCGUCAUCUGCGGCUCUCCAUCGCUGGAAUUACGGCCUGAACCAUUCCCCACCCACCCCCAUCUGUGGAAAAAUUUUCUUCCACGAAAGCGGUCCUUGGUGCCAAAAAGGUUGGGGACCGCUGGUCUACUAUGGGGCAGAAAAUUGUACAGCCUACAAAUAUGAUAAAUAAAGAUGUUUACUAUGUAUUUUUGGGUGGGGGAAAAAAGGCUAUAAAACAAUAUGCAUUGUAUGAACACAGUUUUGUAAUUUAGAAAAGUAUAAAAUAAUUUAAAAGUACGUACAAAAAGAUUACAAAGAUAGAAGCCAGAAUCUAAUAUAGUGGUUGUUUUAGGGUAGUAAUAUCAGUGUUUUCAUAUUUUUCUUUCAGCUUAACUGAAUUUUCUUAUUUUUUCCCAAUGAACAUGAAUUAGUAGUUGUAUUCCAGAAAAAGGAAAGAAACCCAGCAAAUUAAGACUGAAUGUGCCAAGAAACGGCAUGGUUUCAUAUUUCUGAACAUCUAUUAUAUAUCAGUCUUUCCAAACCUCCAGAAAGCAAGAUCAUGGUAAUCAACUUUACUUCGCAAAAUGUAAAACUGGUAUUUAUGGUGACAGGAAGCCAAACAGGACUAAAAAACACAGAAAGUUAACUCUCACAAAAUAAAACAAUAUGGAGACGUAUUGUAUAGCAUAAAAAAAAACAGGCUUUGAAGCACAUAAUAGGUGAUGAAUAUAAACUGGCUCUAAGUGAAGGAAAUGUCAUGAAAAAGAACAGAAGGAGAGGCUUCAGCUAAGCAGUGAGGAUGUUUGCAAGGACUGACCUUGAGGGUAGACCACUGCGGUCAGCGUGGGUAGUUUAUCCUGUGGGCACACAUUACAGAAAGGGUGAGUAAUCACCGCUCUCCACUGGCCACUUAGAUGCAUUGGUCUGCGAGACACAGGAGUCUGUCUGGAACGUGACAGGGAAAGUUGAUGGUGGGAACGCACGGAGUCAAUGGUUUACAGAGGCGGCAACCCUCACACCGUGGGAGGAAAAAAGGUUUUGAUUAAUUGGCUGAUUCCAAGGGCUUAUUUUCUUUACCCUGGUACUACCAUUAAAAUGAUGGCUGAAUUCAUUUUGAUCUCUUGUCACUGUCUCCUUCUGCUGAUUUUUGCUUCAGAGGCUUCCUCUACUGCUUUUUUUGGGGGGAAGGGUGGGUGUCAAGACAAAUAUCAAUAGCACAGUUAGAAUUAAAGCUUAUUUUAUAUAAAUAGUCUUGGGGGGAAAAAGCUUUCUUUUAAGAUAAGACAUCACAGGAAGCUAAUGACAUCUGCAGAGGGGCUGAAGGAAGCAGAAAGUGGAAAGCCAUUUUGUAUUUCUGCCUCUUUGCCAUUGGAUUGAGUUUUCUCUCAUGGCAUCUUGAAACCGCUUUCUUGCUUUAUGUGUCCUUUGAAUUUCUUAGAACCUCUCUAUUGUCUGUGCUUAGGAAGUGUAAUCAUGUUGAUAGUUCAUAAAGUGAUUUUUUCCCAGUGUGUUAAUUUCCCAGGGCCUGGGAGCCUAGAGAAUCGUUAUGGGAUGCUCCCAACUUCUAAUGAUAAUUAUUUGCUUUCCAGGAUAUUCAGAAUUUGAGAGGAUCACUUUGGAGCACACUGAUGGCCAGAGGAGCGAUGGGUGACAUUCUAGGGAUGGAGGAGUGGUCAGGUGGAAAGGCCACAGAUGCCAAGACCGCCUGGAUAACUCUAAGGAGGGAGGAAGACUUCCUUCCUUGCAUCCCCUCCCACUUACUCAAUAGCUGAACUUUUACCAUGAAAAUGGCAUCUCUGUGAUUUGAUCCCAUUUUAUUAAGCUGCAGAUACAAAGACAACUGUGACAUGAUACUUGUCACACUGUCUAGUGGAAGAAUAGUUUUGAAAACUACUAAAAGGAGAAAUGGUGAUUUCUGGAGAGGGACAAUUCUUUAAGGUAUUAUUAGUCAUUCUACUCUUUAAUGCAGAUGGAUGGCUAUAGCUACACUUUGUGAGAUCCUAAUUUGGAAAGGGAAUAGGAGCAGGAAGCCUUUAGUUGUCUAAAGGAAGGGAGGGUAGGAAAGGGCAGAGGAAGAGAGGGAGAGAGAGACUCUGAGGAUGAGAAUAUGAAUGGAUAAAUGAACAAGAGGUGGAAGCAGGAACUGUCAGCAGGCUUCAAAAUUUGGAAUAGCAAUGGACCUUGUACUUGACCAAUCUCUCCCAUUAAUACCUCCAUCAGAAAAUUCCAUCCACUAUCCCUCUCCCUCCAGCUGAUAAACUUUCCCCAGAAUUCAAAUAUAUAGAAGUUUGCAAUAGCUGUAAGUAAAAUCCACAAUUCUAAGUCCUUCUGAUCUGUUGGUACUGCCAAAGGAAGGUAUAGCGCUCUACCCCUAGCUGAAGUCAUCCAUUCAUGGGCCUAAGACAUUGGGAAACCCUGUCUCCCUGGGCACGUAGGACUCUUCCCUAGGUCUGCAGCCUGGUUUUCUGGAGUCUUCUUAGCCUUUCCUUCAUCUGAAGGAGAUGACUCCGGCUGAGUCUACCAAAGUCUGCCCAACCAGAUAAGAAGUGAAAUCCUUUAUCCAACGACCAGAUGUGUGGUCUAUGAGAAGACAAAACAUCUGGCCUGCUGGAAUCACUGAGUUGCUGGCAAGCUCUGCUCAGCUUUCUUACAGGAAGGAGUGGCAGGCACCCUGAAGAUCAAGCUAGGAUCUUUGAAGUUCAAAGAAAAAACUGUGUUGAAGUUCAGAUUGAAAAAUAUGAAUCACAGGGAGGAAGUAAUUCUUUUUCACCUCAACUUGCCAGAAUCCUGAGCUGGUCUCCAGGCCUGGGGCACAUAGGUUGGCACCUCUUCUUUAGAGAGGGGUGAAUGAAGCCAAGUUGACAUGCAUUUACAUUUCCAAACAUAAUCAUUAUUACAAUGUUGACAAUUAUACCUGGGCUUCACGGAGGUCACUGAAUCUUUCAAAGGCUCUAUCUCAGCAGUUCCACAGGAAUGGCAAUUCUUAUUUAAACAUUUUUCAGAAAGGAAAUAAAACAAACAAAUGAAACGAGCACCUGGAGAGGCCAAGUGACAUUGUUUGAGGAUGUACAACAACCAUGCACAGAGGUUAUGACCACAUGGAUUCCCUCAGGCAUGUGAUGACAGACUUACCGGUAAUGUCCGCAUGCAUUUGCACAAAAAGGGGGUUCUUGCCGAGGCCCCCACAGAGGAAAAGGGUGCUGAUCGAGUGCCCUGCUGACUCCAUGGCCUCUAUAAUGAGGCGCGUCCCGAACUUAAAGGGAAGAACAGAAGAAAGCAUCAGUACGGUAGCAAAGCAAUGGCUUGAACUGUGGCCAGGUAGAGAAUGGCAAGAUCAUCGAGGUCCUGAGAUAGUUUCAAUCCGGUGACCUGUAGGGAUGAAGAAAAGAAAAGAAGGAGAUGGCGCC